AAAAAAAAAAAAAAGAACGUUUUUUUUUUUUUUAUAAUUAUUAGAGAAAACUUCAAAUACCAUUCAUAUGUUUCACACUUUCUCACUUUAAUUCCCUAUGGUUUAAAGUAUAUCUAUUUAGUGACCCGUGGUUUCCUUUUUAUCUUUUUAUUAUUGAUUUCACUAAUUUUUUUUCGUUAAAUUAGUGACAAAGUUAAAACUAAAAGGUACCAGAGUCAAUAUUCGAUAAAUCCAGGUGGGGUAUCUGAAAUUUUUUAUAUAUAAUUCAACUAAAUAUUAACAAAAAAACUGACGAAAAGAUAAAAAAAGAAAUCUCAGGAUACUAACUUAUACACUUUAACUCACAGAGUAUUAAAAUAAGAAAGUAGGAAACCACAGAAAUGAUAUUUGAAGUUUACCUAAUUAUUAUCGUUCAAAUAGAAAAUUCAGAAAAA
rnacentral:lncRNA from 1 species